AGAAGAUUUGCCAUGGUUCAAGGC
rnacentral:siRNA from 1 species